rnacentral:rRNA from 1 species
CCUACGGGAGACAGCAGUGGGGAAUAUUGGGCAAUGGGCGCAAGCCUGACCCAGCAACGCCGCGUGAAGGAAGAAGGCUUUCGGGUUGUAAACUUCUUUUGACAGGGAGGAGUAGAAGUAGGUAACUGUAGUAUAAGCCACGUCUAACUACGUGCCAGCAGCCGCGGUAAUACGUAGGUGGCAAGCGUUGUACGGAUUUACUGGGUGUAAAGGGUGUGUAGCCGGGUUGACAAGUCAGAUGUGAAAUCCUGCGGCUUAACCGCAGAACUGCAUUUGAUACUGGUGAUCUUGAGUACUGGAGAGGCAGACGGAAUUCCUAGUGUAGCGGUGAAAUGCGUAGAUAUUAGGAGGAACACCAGUGGCGAAGGCGGUCUGCUGGACAUCUACUGACGGUGAGGCGCGAAAGCGUGGGGAGCAAACAGGAUUAGAUACCCUUGUAGUC